rnacentral:rRNA from 1 species
GAUGAACGCUGGCGGCGUGCCUAAUACAUGCAAGUCGAGCGAACAGACGCGGAGCUUGCUCCUCUGACGUUAGGGGCGGACGGGUGAGUAACACGUGGAUAACCUACCUAUAAGACUGGGAUAACUUCGGGAAACCGGAGCUAAUACCGGAUAACAUGUUGAAGCGCAUGGUUCAACGGUGAAAGACGGUUUUGCUGUCACUUAUAGCUGGAUCCGCGCCGCAUUAGCUAGUUGGUAAGGUAACGGCUUACCACGGCAACGAUGCGUAGCCGACCUGAGAGGCUGAUCGGCCACACGAGAACUGAGACACGGUCCAGACUCCUACGGGAGGCAGCAGUAGGGAAUCUUCCGCAGUGGGCGAAAGCCUUACGGAGCAACGCCGCGUGAGUGAAGAAGGUCUUCGGAUCGGAAAACUCUGUUAUUAGGUAAGAACAAAUGUGUAAGUAACUAUGCACGUCUUGACGGUACCUAAUCAGAAAGCCACGGCUAACUACGUG